rnacentral:rRNA from 1 species
UACGUAGGAGACGAGCGUUGUCCGGAGUUACUGGGCGUAAAGGGUGCGCAGGUGGCGGCGCGCGUGGGGGGUGAAAUCGCCCGGCUUAACUGGGCGGGGGCCUUCCAGACGGCGUGGCUUGAGCAGCGGAGGGGGACGUGGAAUUCCGGGUGGAGCGGUGAAAUGCGUAGAGAUCCGGAGGAACACCGACGGCGCAGGCGGCGUGCUGGGCGGUUGCUGACACUGAGGCACGAAAGCUGGGGGAGCAAACAGG